AACGCACGGACAUUUGUGCUAGUAUAUUCCUAUGUAUUCAGCCAAUCUAUUUCCGGAGCGGGGCCCGCCUACCUACCCCAAUUAAUGUCACGGGCGUCAUCCCAGAGUAACCGGCUCAGACGGGCCUGCAACCAAGGGCCACGGCUCAGCCCCCAUCCCACUAACGGCGCCGUCCACACCAGCCCCUUAUUUACUGCAACUCACCAACCACCCCCUCCUCAAGAUCCUUCCUGCUCUUCUCCUCUCCUCAUUCUCUUCAACCAACGCGCCGCAAGAAACCAGAUCGCCGGUCAUGACCUCCUCAUCUUCUUCCUCGCGCCCUAGGGAGAUACUCCUGCUCAUUCCUUGUCCUGAUUGUGGUGGCUAGGUCGUCACCUUCGUCGUCCCGGCCCUCCCGGGCUGGAGUCCGGUUCUACAAGUGCUUCAACAAAAUGCUGUACUCUGUUCAUUCAUGAGAUCCAGUUACACGUACCUGCCGGAGCUGAGUCGCCAUGGCCUCUCCCACCGGCACGGAUUGCAGCAGCCUCUAUCAGUGCAUCCAGCUUCGUCUCUCCACCAGUGAUCUCGCCGGGAGCAGCAUUUCCCUGCCGGCACCGAGAUCGAGCACCAAGCCCCACAUCGGCAGAUCUACCUGCUCAGCCACAGAUUCAGCAGAUGCACAUUGGUGCUCCUCGCCGGCACUAACCACCUGCUUGUCCUGGCGUUGUUGGUCCUAAUUUUGGGCAGCAAACCAGUUAAACGGUCCUUUAGCUAAUUAGCCUGAGUGUUGUCCCAAAUGUACCACGAACUAUGCAAUCUGUCAUUUAGAUUUGGAAGUACGCGCUAAGCCCUUUGUCAUCAGCCCUGAUGGUUCUUUUGUGCCUGUAUAUAGUCUGCUGUAAUCAUGGGUUCUACUAAUAAAAUACGACCGGCGCCACACAUGGAGUAGUACUAAGCUCUGCAAA